GAGCCAGCCUGGUGGGCUUCACAUCUGGACGCGGUGCAGGGGAGGCCGAGGGCAAGUUGGCUUUUUCCUGCUGGCAGGAUGGACACGGGCAGCGGGCCCACAAACCCAGCAGGGAAGGGGCCAGGACCUGCUCAGGGAGGCCUGCAGCAGCCGUUGAUGGGCCCAGGCCCACCUCGUCCGGAUGCAGCUGUAGGCCCUUCUGUGUAUUUCCAACAGCUUGCUUAUUUGCGCCUCCCUCCUCGGCUGGCUUCUGAUGGGGCCUCUGUCUUCUGCUCACCUCCGGUAGCCCUGCGCUCAGCAUGCAGCUACUCUGGUCUCCGGGUCUCCUGUCUGGAUGAUGGAAUCCAGGCUAUUGGCAUUGGGAGGACUAAGUGUGGAGCUGUCAGCACUAAGGAGGCCUCACCGAGCCCUGCUGUCCUUGGAACUCAAGCCCCACCCUCUGCACUGCUGCUCCCCCCUGAGGGGCUAAGGGACACUUAAACAUACACAGCCGCCAUCGCUCAAGCGCUGGGAGGCACUUGCGGUGGUAACGGCACUUACAGCCUACGUGGAUCCUGAAGUCAGUUUGAGGCUGACGCUUACCUGCAGAAGUCUGAGAAGUUUAGCUGACCACUCACAGCUGAGUUUCUUCUGCUGCGAAGCAUGGGUGAUACUAACUCAGAGAGACACCAGGAAAUAGAAAGGCUCUGUGCACGGUGCAGACACUACUCGUAGCCUAGUGGCUACUUCGAAUAUAGCAAGUGCUUCGGAAAAUCUUUGUUGAGCCUGUUACAGAAGCUGGACAUCGCCUUCCGUGUGCAGUGUAUCUCACUGCUGGGGGCAGUUGUGGACAUCUGUCUUGUUGGAGAAGGAUCGCUGAGGUUUGGAACUUGCUCUCUCACUAAGCACAUGGUGGCUUAGGACAAGUCAGAGUCUAUGAAAGGGAAGCUAUAACGCGUGGGAUUCUAAUGUUCAGCUUAACUUGAAAACACAAGUGUAAAAAUUCCGCUGACACAUGAUAUGACAUGGGGAGUUUACUUCGAAAUCACCGGAGGGGUGGCUUGGGGAGGUGAGUGGGGUGAGACUGCCCACGAACGCACAGCUGCCGAGGCCGAGGGCUGCUGUGAGCGGGGUGUGUCGCGGUUUCCCUGCAGCGCUGUGUCGCCUGUGGGCGCCUUCAGUACUGAGGAUGGAACCGAGGCCUCGGGCCUGCUAAGCACGACUGCACCACCAAGGGACAACCACCCCUGACUUCUCUGUAUUUCUGAAAUUCCCAAGAUAAAAUGUUAGAAAAAAAAAUGAGC
rnacentral:lncRNA from 1 species